CUCGUAGGUGGCCAACUAAGUCAGACGUGAAAUCCCUCGGCUUAACCGGGGAACUGCGUCUGAUACUGGAUGGCUUGAGUUUGGGAGAGGGAUGCGGAAUUCCAGGUGUAGCGGUGAAAUGCGUAGAUAUCUGGAGGAACACCGGUGGCGAAGGCGGCAUCCUGGACCAAUACUGACGCUGAGGAGCGAAAGCCAGGGGAGCAAACGG
rnacentral:rRNA from 1 species